GUCGGAGGAGAGGUAAUCCGGAAGCGGGAACCUCGCUCCAGGCAAAUUCAGAUACCACCCCCCUCUUCCUCGCAAAUGGCAGGUGCCCAAAGCCUCGGAGGUCAGGCUCAUACUUGCCCACGCCUACCUUCCUGGCUCGGACUCACCGGCGCCACCCCUCCUACCCCGGGAGUAUCCAGGCCCCCGCAUACUCUCGAGGAGUUUGCAGCGCUCUGGCUGCGCCCUGCGUGGGAAGCCCGUGCUAACACCGAAGAAAGAAAAACCCUCGGUCCCCUUGAAGCUAGUUGAGGGUUUGCUUGGCAGGACUCCAUGCCAUAAGCUGGGGCAGGAAGACUGCGGGCUGGAGUGGCCGACUCCAUGACCUUCUCCUGCAGCCUCUGCCACCCCCUGCGCAGUAGAGCACCUGUGCAAUUUUCAGAAUGCUCUUGGUCCCCUGGACUCCAGCCUUAGGGUGUUCAUCUGGUCUUCAACAAAACAUAGGGCGAAACUUUAGUCAUACCAACACUCGGAGGAUGCACUGUGGCAGGGGAUCCGCAAGGUCAAAACUCCCUGUGAACACUAUGACGUCAUCUGCCCUUUUGGCUCCCCUCUCACCAGCACACAUAGGAGCUUUUCAGAGGGUAAGUGACAUGUGGUGUCAUUAUCUCUCUGACAGCUAAUGGAAACGUGGGUUCUUCAGUAUUAAAAGUCUCUUUAAAUUUUGAAUAUGAUACACAUUGGUAGAUAUUAUCACAUUAGGAUUUUUUAGAAUUUUAGGAUCCUCAACAUCAAGUACGAAAGGAGUCCUCAAAUCAAAACAGUGGAGAGCUGGUGUUAGCCAAGAAAAGGGAUGUAUCCAAUUAAACUCUUUGUAAUGCUUUUAUCUUUUAGAAUUUCUAAAUACUUAUUCAAUGAGAGCUUUUAGAAUUAGACCUAUAUUAUUAUCCUACAUCACUUUUGUGUGUAAAAAGGAAAACAUAAGCAAAAUAAACUUACGGAGUUCCUGUAA